UCCAGUGAGUGGUCUUGUCCUGCUGCUUUCGAAGCAUUUUGAGUCCUCAAUAGGACUUGCAUACAUCCAGUGUUCUCUCAGGGGUAAGCCAAUUCAAUAUUGAAUUGAAGUGAAAAGAAAAGGAAAGCCCCAGUAAUUGUCUUUUUUAUUUUUCUCACUAGUGUCAGGAUUGAGAGUGCUAGUCAAAUUCUAAGCCCAUUCAGUUGUAGUCCAUUUUUCAAUGGCAGUUGCCUGCCUUCGGUGCCUUUUCAGUAAAAAGAAUAUAAGAACCCCUAGCCAGCUUAUCUAUAAUCUCCCAGAACUGAGAAAGUUCGAGGUUCCUGUCUUAAGCCUAUCCUAUCCUAACUAAGCUCUUCCAUUGCUAAUGCCGUAUUUGGGUUUUUUAGAAGGCGUUGAAAUUAGAGAUUGAGUUCUCUUUGC
rnacentral:lncRNA from 1 species